CGGUCAGACAGGUGCAAGGGCGCCAAUCUCCCUCCUCGUGUUCCCGGACGACGCGCAAGCCAUCCUUCCCUUUCUUCCGUGCGGCUCUACCCUGUCCUGACUUCUCCUCGCCGCGCCGCCGUCCGCUCGACCACAGCUCGCCCCCGUCCACAAAGGAGACAAGUAGCAGCAGCGCCCCAAAUCGAGGGAGGGAGGAUCCUCUCAGGAAGUCAUUUUUUUGCAGGUCAAAAAAGCAAGAUUUAGAUGAUAUUUCGCAACAAUGUCAAUGUUAGAUUCUGAUUCACCAACAGUGCUCUUUAGGUUAGAAAGGAUUUGAAUUGAGCGAUUCAACUCUGCCUUCAUCAGUACAAACAAUUCAUAAAAGAGAUGAAUUGGACUAAUCUACUCAGCAUCUCAUGACUUUAGAAGCACGAGUUCAUGAAAACUGAUAUCCACUAGGAUUGCUCUGCUCCUGUUGACAUGCGAGAGCUGUUUGAAGCGAACUGGAUGGUUGUCACCACUGAUUAAGCUGCCGAGCCCAAGAAUUGUGUCAGACUAUUGGCCAAGCUGUUCAAUUUCUCAACACCGUUCAGUUUUGUCAUUGGCCGCCCUUGCGUACACUCAACAGAGAAGGUGGUGGCUCGACAAUUUAAUAAGCCAGAUUUGUGGGAAGUGGAAUGCAUGUGUAACCAAACUGGGCUGGACCAAUCUUGAGGUUUUCCACGAAUUCUUUUAAAAAUGGUCCUUAAGCAAGGCACUGGGAAAUUGUGGAUAGCUGAUAUAUCCAGCAGGUAUGUGCACAUUCUGCUAUAAUAUAGAGUAGGGAGUGCUCAGCAUAAAUUGUGAGAUCUGAGCUGGUACAUAAAAUAAACCAAGAUAGUCUUGUCUUACGUGCAGAUGAUUUUAUUAUGGCAUACUGUUCAGCAUAAUUCUGACUCUAGAAUGUCUGUAUUAGCCGUUUGAUGAGUCAACUAGAAACUUCAUAGGUUUUUAGUACUCCAGUUAUGUUGUCAUUUGUAUAUCUCCAGAUAUAAACUUCAUAAAUUUAUAUCGUGAAUCAUUUUUAUGCUGCUACAUUUCUAGCAGAAGUUGUA